GACGAACCGUGCGAACGUUGUUCGGAUUCACUGGGCUUAAAGGGCGCGUAGGCGGCUUGCCAAGUCAGGGGUGAAAUCUUUCGGCUCAACCGGAAAAGUGCUUCUGAUACUGGCGGGCUGGAGGGGGGUAGGGGCAGAUGGAACUUCCGGUGGAGCGGUGAAAUGCGUAGAUAUCGGAAGGAACGCCGGUGGCGAAAGCGAUCUGCUGGACCCCUUCUGACGCUGAGGCGCGACAGCGUGGGGAGCAAACAGG
rnacentral:rRNA from 1 species